GGAGCAGACGGGCAGGCCGGCUCUGCCCUCCCGCGAAGGGGAGGCGGGGGACCCUGGGGGCGCUAGCGUCCCCCCCCGCCCAUGCUCCAAGGGGGAGGGAGAGAAGCAGCGCCGCGGCGACCUGGAGGGCAGAGGGGCCACUCGCGGCCUAAAUCGGGGGAGCGCGCCCCCCUGGCAGUGGCUCCGCACGGCGUGGGGAGGGCGCGGAAGGCCCCGACGGGGUCAGCGAGGGCUCCGCGGGGGUCGCGGUCUUGGAGGAGCCUCCCCACGCCGAGCAGGCCAUGAGAGUAUUCUUAUCCGGGAAUAAAUGCAUCUGGAUUGAGCGCAGCUAUCCCUGCGCUUCAGGCGGCCAGAGGGUCUCUCUCGCCCCCCUCCCGCGGUGCCCGGCUCGCCUUGCCGGCAGCGGGACACCGGCAGGACACCGCCGCCCCCCCCACUCAGCAGCUCCGGACUCCUCUUCGGGGGGGAACGACGACACGGACACACACAGGGCGGGGGGACUCGGUGCUCCCCCCUCCCGCAGGUGUCCGCUCCGACUGCGGGGUUAUUCCUCGGAGUAACCGCGGUACGGUCAACCCGUGGUGGUGCACCUACUUGAUUUAUUAAGCGGCAUCGUGUCCUCCCCUCUGGGACCGACGGGCUUCACCGGGCGCCCCGCCGAGCCCGCCGCGAGUGACAUGGGGCUCUUGGACGGUACGAAGACCAGCAGUUUGGCUGCUGUGGGCUGCCUUGCUCUGUGUACCUAGAACAGGCCAGUGCUAGCUCUCAUCUUCGCUGUCAGAUGUCGCGUGUUUUGGCGAAAGAAACCAAGGCUAACGCCUCUGAAACAGCCAAAUUCUCUCGUCCUUCGGGAUCUGCUUCUCGCAGACUGCUGGGAAGCGUCCCCAGCGCUGCCCCGCGCCACUAGCACUCCAACGCAGUGGUGUAACCUCGAAAGUUGAACAUUUGCCUUUCGCACACAUCGUGUACUGUACCCACCCUAAAACUUGUACAUUAAAAAUCCAGACAGGAACCCGAGCCACCGGGCUUCGGCCACGGGGGAACGCUGGGUGGCCGCUGACACCCACCGGGCUGCGCUGCGAGGAAGGAACCAGGUCCCGGGGCACCGGGAAUGCGGCUUCUCGGUGAGCUGCUCUCCUUGCUGGAGCCGCAUGGGGCGGGUAAGGUGGAUGCUCGUGAUCCCUGGUAUAAAUUAGCAGAAAUGCAUCCUACUGGUUUAUUUAUUUUUACCAAACCAAGUGUGUUAUAAAAGACAUUCUCUGCUGCUCAUGUUGACAAAUAACUCGUGAGCUACCUGACAGUGUUAGUCCAGUUGUUGCCCAUAUGUCUAAAUACCCUCCAAGAGACGUCAAUGCCUUUUAGAGACAGAAUUACCUCAAAUGAAAACCAGAAGAAAGAUGGAGUUUUUUCGUCUCCCCCAAAACCCGCUUUAUACCUGAUAGGAGCAACGCCCAGAGAAGAUUUUGGAAAAUUGAGUAUCACUUUCCCCAUAGCAGCUUCACAACAUGACUGGGGUGGGGAGGGUUUUAUUUUCCUUUAUUUUCUUCCUUUUUCUUUUAAAUCCAUACCUUCAGUAAA